rnacentral:rRNA from 1 species
UCGGGAAUUUUGGGCAAUGGGCGAAAGCCUGACCCAGCAACGCCGCGUGAGGGAUGAAGUAUUUCGGUAUGUAAACCUCGAAAGAAUGGGAAGAAUAAAUGACGGUACCAUUUAUAAGCUCCGGCUAACUACGUGCCAGCAGCCGCGGUAAUACGUAGGGAGCAAGCGUUGUUAGGAUUUACUGGGCGUAAAGGGCGCGUAGGCGGCGCGGUAAGUCACUUGUGAAAUCUCUGAGCUUAACUCAGAACGGCCAAGUGAUACUGCUGUGCUAGAGUGCGGAAGAGGCAACCAGAAUUCUUGGUGUAGCGGUGAAAUGCGUAGAUAUCAAGAGGAACACCUGAGGCGAAGGCGGGUUGCUGGGCCGACACUGACGCUGAUGCGCGAAAGCCGGGGGAGCAAACG